UUCCUUUGACCUUUUGGCUUGAUCGUAGCCUCACUGUCCUCUCCUGUGCAGUUGCAAUCAUCUUGUUGGCCUUCCUGAUCAGAUGUCCAACCAGCAGAGCCUUCAUCCCAGUUCUCGUCUUCAUCAGAAUAACAUUGGUCCCAUAGUUUCGAUUUAAUUACCAUAUCUCUCAUGUUAUCUUGAAUUUGUUGUCUAUUCUUUCCAUUGAGACUUAAGAAUUCCCCACUGUCGUUGAUACCUCCCUCGGCAUAUAUACUGGAUAUAGAAAUGGGAGUAUAGCUUUGGACCUUUUGAAUGACCCCUCCAGCUUCUUUGUCAUCAUCUUUACAGAAAUUUGCAAGUGCG
rnacentral:lncRNA from 1 species